rnacentral:rRNA from 1 species
GAGUGCGAUCAUACCAGUGUUAAAGCACCGGUUCCCAUCAGAACUCCGCAGUUAAGCGCGCUUGGGCUAGAGUAGUACUGGGAUGGGUGACCUCCCGAGAAGUCCUAGUGUUGCGCCCU